rnacentral:rRNA from 1 species
UACGAAGGGUGCAAGCGUUACUCGGAAUUACUGGGCGUAAAGAGUGCGUAGGCGGUUUCCCAAGUCCGCUGUGAAAUCCCCGGGCUCAACCUGGGAAUGGCAGUGGAAACUAGGAGACUUGAAUCUGGCAGAGGGGGGUGGAAUUCCACGUGUAGCAGUGAAAUGCGUAGAGAUGUGGAGGAACACCGAUGGCGAAGGCAGCCCCCUGGGCUGAGAUUGACGCUCAGGCACGAAAGCGUGGGGAGCAAACAGG